rnacentral:rRNA from 1 species
GACAGCAGCAGCCGCGUUAAUACAGAGGGUGCGAGCGUUAAUCGGAUUUACUGGGCGUAAAGCGUGCGUAGGCGGCUUCUUAAGUCGGAUGUGAAAUCCCUGAGCUUAACUUAGGAAUUGCAUUCGAUACUGGGAAGCUAGAGUAUGGGAGAGGAUGGUAGAAUUCCAGGUGUAGCGGUGAAAUGCGUAGAGAUCUGGAGGAAUACCGAUGGCGAAGGCAGCCAUCUGGCCUAAUACUGACGCUGAGGUACGAAAGCAUGGGGAGCAAACAGGAUUAGAUACCCCCGUAGUCCCUGUCUCUUAUAC